rnacentral:rRNA from 1 species
CCUACGGGGGGCUGCAGUGGGGAAUAUUGGACAAUGGGGGGAACCCUGAUCCAGCCAUGCCGCGUGUGUGAAGAAGGCCCUCGGGUUGUAAAGCACUUUCAGUGAGGAAGAACGCCUGGUGGUUAAUACCCAUCAGGAAAGACAUCACUCACAGAAGAAGCACCGGCUAACUCCGUGCCAGCAGCCGCGGUAAUACGGAGGGUGCGAGCGUUAAUCGGAAUUACUGGGCGUAAAGCGCGCGUAGGUGGCUUGAUAAGCCGGUUGUGAAAGCCCCGGGCUCAACCUGGGAACGGCAUCCGGAACUGUCAAGCUAGAGUGCAGGAGGGGAAGGUAGAAUUCCCGGUGUAGCGGUGAAAUGCGUAGAGAUCGGGAGGAAUACCAGUGGCGAAGGCGGCCUUCUGGACUGACACUGACACUGAGGUGCGAAAGCGUGGGUAGCAAACAGGAUUAGAUACCCCUGUAGUC